UACGGGGGGGGGCAAGCGUUGUUCGGAAUUACUGGGCGUAAAGGGCUCGUAGGCGGCCAACUAAGUCAGACGUGAAAUCCCUCGGCUUAACCGGGGAACUGCGUCUGAUACUGGAUGGCUUGAGUUCGGGAGAGGGAUGCGGAAUUCCAGGUGUAGCGGUGAAAUGCGUAGAUAUCUGGAGGAACACCGGUGGCGAAGGCGGCAUCCUGGACCGAUACUGACGCUGAGGAGCGAAAGCCAGGGGAGCAAACGGGG
rnacentral:rRNA from 1 species